GUCGGACACUUAACUGACUGAGCCACCCAGGCACCCCUCAAACAUUUUUAAAAAUACAUGGUUCCUGUCAGCCUGAUAGUGGUUUUUGUUUUUUGUUUUCCUGGUUAUGUUCAGUUUCUUGGGUGCAGGCACAGAGUAGGAGGAGAAUUGGAUUUUUCCAAGGCUGGGUUUUGCUAAAUAUGAUAAAUUGAGAGAGAAGCGGGAGGUGGAGGGUAUGUUUAUAAUGAUAGAUCAUGGCAUUUAAAUAAGGUGAGGGAAGUGAGGACAUGGAGGGAGAGAGACAGUAAACAGAUGAUGGAAUUAAUUGAUUGUAGGUCCUAGUGGGAUUGAUGGAUUAUUGCAGGUGGCCUCUAUAGAGAGUGAUCUUGAAAGAGAGUAGAUGGAGGACAGAGUGUGGGAUGUUUGGAUUUGAGAUCAUGGAUGGUUGUAUAUUGUGAUAAUAAUGACAGGGACUGAGGAUUGACCCUGGGGAGACAGGCAGAGAGAGAUAGGGUGGAGGACAAAAUCACUGGAAAGGUUAGAAGGACAAAGAGGACAGUGUUGAAAGUAUCAUCCACAUGGAAUUGAAAUCACUAAGAAUUAAGACAAGCGUGUUGUUAGAGUGAGUCACAAACUAGAAUCUUUGAAACUUGAGGAGAAUGAAAAAGAGACUGGUAGAUGUUUACAACAAGGAGAGGCAGGGGUGAUAAGAGACUAAUGAUAUAGAUUUAAAGCUGGAAAAUUUUAGAGAUAAUGGCUUAGAAGCAGCAAUGAGGAGCACUGAGGAAACCUAGUCUACUUUUAUCCUGGAUUCAGGAGGCAUGAGAGAGAUGACAGCUACUGUUUGAGACGAAUCCAGUAGAAAAAGGCUCCUCCGGGAAGAACCAGGUUUCUGUACAGUAACUUUGGAAAAAAAGUUGAGAAUACAAGAGAUUCUAUUGGUAGUAGACCAUGGGGUGCAGAGAGCACAGUGGAGGUGUUUCAGGAUUGGGGGAAUGGAGACAGAAGAGAUACAUAGCCUAUGAAAAUAAUGAAAGCCCCGUGUGUGAGGCACACACUAUUAGCAAUGGUAUUAGUCCUUUCCUCUGCCUGCCUCGGACUGACUUUUCCACAUAUUGGGGCUCUGCCUGCAGCAAGUAGUGUGUCCCAGUUCUCAGCUGUCUAAAAUGGAUCUAGCUCCUGGAACAGAGAGGAGAAGCAGGUAAUAAAGGAGCCCUCAGCCAAUAUUGCAAGAUUAGACAUAACUGUCAGUCAACUCUAACUGAUUGCCCUAACAGAGACUUCUCUGAUUUUCUCAUUCUGUUUGGAUUGAGACAUCUUGGAUAGGACAGAAAAAUCACUGAAGAGUCCAUCUCAAUUGCAUAAUAGACCUGGCAAUGGCAAACUUCUGUCUCACUGCAGUAUCUAGCCCCUUUGGAUUGUGAGGGGUUUGUGUCAGUGAAUGGAGAGUCAACACCAUCAUUUCAACCAGAUCCUUCUCAAACCAGCCACUGCCAAAAUUGCUUUUAAAAAGAAGAAAGAAGAAAACAAGAAAAUUCAUUUUUGUUAGGAUAGAUGAUAAGUGGCUCAUCUGACACAUGUGCACAUUGAUUCAUAGAAAACAUAAUUGUUUUUUUUUGCUGUUAUCACGGCCUUCUUGGUGGAGCUGUUGUUUUGCAGAAAUCAGUGGCCUGAAGGGGAGUGUGUGUGUGUGUGUGUGUGUGUGUGUGUGUGUGUGUGUGUGUGAGAAAAAUUCCUGUUCUGCAGCAGGAUAUAAGUAGAGCAUGCCCUAAUGGAUUCAGAGGCAUUCAACACUGGAGUUACAGCUCAGUCUUCACAGCUGAACUUUUAUUUUUCAGAACAUAGUUCUUUAGCCAUAAGGCAUUUGGCAAUUUUCAUCAAUAAAAAAAUAAAUUGCAUAAAAGGGAGUUGGGGUUGAACCCGCCUAUCACCUUUUAUGUGAAUUUUCUCUUUCUAUUCUCUCAGCGCAUGUCUGCCAGCAUUUACAUUCCUGAAAUAAUUUAUGUGGGGAUGGAAGAAAAACAGAAAAGAAAACAACUUCCUCAAACUACUCUACAAGGAGAACAUUUGGAAGAUCAUGUCGAUGGAAUAGUGAUGCAGUGGUAAAAUUAAAGGUUAUGACAACUGAAAUAAUUUGUAUGAAGAUAAAACGUGGUUUUGUUCACAAACAGGAAUUCGCCGUGAACUUUUCAGUCUCCACUUGAUCUUAGCCAAAAGGCCAAGAAGUGAUAACACUUUUCAGUCUCAAUAUAGGUUUGGCAAAUUGAUUUUCCCCCCAGCAACAUCAUACUCAGAGAUCCUGAAAGAAUGGCUCUAUAUUGGCAGAAUUUUGGAGUCAUUGCAAGCUUCUUGGGGGUGUGGAGAUUCAGCCACGCUUCCAUGAGACUACUGGUGACACUCCAUCUGUCAGAUCUCAAAUUGACAGAAGUGAUAAGGAGAAAGACAGAGCAUGAGCAGGGGAGAGGCAGACAAAGAAUCGGAAGCAGGCU